CUACACCUGAAUGAGCAGAUACCCGCUGAACUUAGCAUAUCAGUA
rnacentral:rRNA from 1 species